UACGUAGGCAGCGAGCGUUGUUCGGAAUUACUGGGCGUAAAGAGUGUGUAGGCGGUGCUCUAAGUUCGGUGUGAAAUCUCCUGGCUUAACUGGGAGGGUGCGCCGGAAACUGGAGUGCUCGAACGUGGGAGAGGAAAGCGGAAUUCCUGGUGUAGCGGUGAAAUGCGUAGAUAUCAGGAGGAACACCUGCGGUGUAGACGGCUUUCUGGACCAUUGUUGACGCUGAGACACGGAAGCGUGGGUAGCAAACAGG
rnacentral:rRNA from 1 species